AAUAUUUAAAACAAGAGAUAGAUCGGCACUGAAAGUAGAUGACAGCUUAAUGAGAGUGGGAGAUAAAGCUUGUACGUUUUCUGUAAUUCUCAUUCGCGUGUGCACGUCGCUGAGAGACCCAAGCGCAGAUCCACCGUCAAACGUGUCUUCCUUGCCCACUGGAGACUUUAUCAUAAAAAUAGAAUGUAAUUUAUAGGCUAUAAAGAAGCAGCCACAUCCUCAACAGCCAGUUGGUGAAAAUGAAAGCCAGGAUAGCCUGGGGUGAUCUUGGACACCACACCAUGGGCAUCCACUGAUGGCUGCUUGCGAAUAAUAAUUCACCUGUCAUUUACAAGAAAGGGCUGGAGACAACUUUGAAAAGAUUUAGCUCUCUGCCUGGAUGGCUUAAUGUUUUAACAUCCACUUUUAUUCCUAAAAAUGAACCAUUUUUACUAUAAUGUAAUCCAACUGUCAAUACUCCAAUAGUUAUGAUCACUUUACUCUUGCAUCUCCUUAAUGACAACUCAUAGUCUCGCUGCAAAAUCAGAUUGAAGCUCGUCUGCCCUCUGAGUAGUCUGUUAUGUGGCUUGUAAGCUGAGUAGACAUAGACAGCUGCUUCACCAUGGACAGAAACUUCAUCCAGCUACUCCUAAAAUUCCUCCCCUGGGGAACAAAGCAACAUCUACACCUCUUCAGAUUCCCAAGGACCAACUGAGGCACGAUUCCACUGAAGUUCAUUCAGGGAACCAGGGACUUCAUUGGGCUUCCUUACAGAGCAUACAUGAGAGGGUACUUACACACUGCAGGUUUUGUAGACUGAACAUCAAUUUGCUCACCUCCAAGAAGGACAAAAAUCAUCAUUCAUAGCUCGGGUCAGAGCCACCUAGCUUCAAGUUAACAGGGGAGCAGCUUUCUGACCAGAUGCAUACAGUCAUUUUCUGAGAGCUGAGAAGUCUGCUGGUGUCGUAAGUAAAGUAAUGGGCACUGAGACAAUGCCCCUGGCCUUGGGAUCAUGUAUUCCCAAGUCUCAUGCAGAAAGAGCACGAAGCACAUGUUUCUCAUGUUUGGGUAUAGGAACAAUAUUUAGUAGAAGGAGAUCUCUUAAGGAAGAGCUGUAGUAUUGUCCCUUGCACAUUUAGUGUUAUCAUGGGACUCAUUAAUCAUUAAUGGUUUCCUCAUCUCAAUUUCUCUAAAUGUAUUUAUGAAUAGAGUUUAACUGAUUAUUAGUUAGGGAUGCCAUUUGUUGUGGGUGACCUAUAAUUUCUUACCCAGGAAAGGUUUGAUAUGUGUUUAGAUUUGUAUAAUUCAAAUAGGUUUUAACCUAAAAAAAAUCUGUUUUCUUCAACUUCAGUAAGUUGAAAUUUAUAACAAAAACUAACCAUUGACUGCAACCUUGCUAGACAGAGUGUGUGGAAGUGGGGUAAAAAGGAGAUACAAAGUCAUGAGAAUGCAGCUGACAUCAUCACAGAAAUACUCUUAUUAUAACUAACUUAAUGUCUUAGCUUUAAUGGUACUUACCAAAAAUCUAUUUCUUCUGC
rnacentral:lncRNA from 1 species